GCCCGCCUAGCUCAGUCGGUAGAGCACAGGACUCUUAAUCCUGCGGUCGUGGGUUCGAGCCCCACGGCGGGUA